UACGAAGGUGGCAAGCGUUUGUUCGGAUUUACUGGGCGUAAAGGGAGCGUAGGUGGUGGGGUAAGCCCCGCGGGAAAGCUCCAGGCUUAACCUGGAAAGGUCGCGGGGGACUGCCUCCGCUCGAGGACGGGAGAGGAGCGCGGAAUUCCCGGUGUAGCGGUGAAAUGGCGUAGAGAUCGGGAGGAAGGCCGGUGGCGAAGGCGGCGCUCUGGAACGGCCCUGACACUGAGGCUCGAAAGCGUGGGGAGCAAACAGG
rnacentral:rRNA from 1 species